rnacentral:misc_RNA from 1 species
GAGUCCAGAGGUAUCCAUGGUACGAUGAGAAUCAAGCCUGGAUGUGCAGUUCCAACUAUGUACAAGCAUUUUAAUAGCAUUAUAGUACCGGGUAUCACAAUGUGACAGAUAAAAGCACCUGUAAAACCCACAUCUCCAUCCAUCAAAGGCUUUGUAGUAAUUUAUGGGAGUUAUAUGCACUCAUCUACAUUUAUUUAUUGUAAAUACUGCUAGGAUGUGUGCUUGUGCAGACUUGAUAAGUGUGAUAUGUUAUGAGAUAUCUUUAUGUAUUGUCUACCUUAGAGAUCUUCAUUAAAUGGUAAAAUAUU